rnacentral:piRNA from 1 species
UGAGGACAAGCUCUCAGUGCUUCUGUGGGA